rnacentral:rRNA from 1 species
UACGGGGGGGGGCAAGCGUUGUUCGGAAUUACUGGGCGUAAAGGGCUCGUAGGCGGCCAACUAAGUCGGAUGUGAAAUCCCCAGGCUUAACCUGGGAACUGCAUCCGAUACUGGAUGGCUUGAAUCCGGGAGAGGGAUGCAGAAUUCCAGGUGUAGCGGUGAAAUGCGUAGAUAUCUGGAGGAAUACCGGUGGCGAAGGCGGGACUCUGGGCCGAUACUGACGCUGAGGAGCGAAAGCGUGGGGAGCAAACAGG